UCCCGCUUAUCACGGGCAGUUUCCUUAGAGUUCCCACCAUGACGUGCUGGUAACUAAGGACGAGGGUUGCGCUCGUUGCGGGACUUAACCCAACAUCUCACGACACGAGCUGACGACAGCCAUGCAACACCUGUCACCUCUCCGGCCGAACCGAAGGAGCUCUAUUACAAGCUCCCGUAAGAGGGAUGUCAAAAGGUGGUAAGGUUUUUCGCGUAGCAUCGAAUUAAACCACAUGCUCCACCGCUUGUGCGGGUCCCCGUCAAUUCCUUUGAGUUUUAAUCUUGCGACCGUACUCCCCAGGCGGGGUGCUUAACGCGUUAGCUACGACACUGAGGCUUAAGCCCCAAUAUCUAGCACCCAUCGUUUACGGCGUGGACUAC
rnacentral:misc_RNA from 1 species